rnacentral:tRNA from 1 species
CCUGGUGGCUCAGAGGGUAAAGUGUCUGCCUGCAAUGCAGGAGACCCUGGCUCAAGUCCUGGGUCAGGA